GCAAAAGUCCUUCAAUGGAGGUUAGCCUGCUGGUAGAUAAGAGCUGAGUGUGAGGAGAGUGAAGCAAACCUUCUACUGAGUGGAUGAGGAGAUGGACAGUGUCUUCCAAGGAUGUCUCUUCUAAGGGGGAACAGAGGAGGAGAUCAUACACAUAUUGCAAAAAGGAAGAAUUCUGAAAAAAAAAAUGACAUCAGCAAAUCAGCCUUCAGAAUUUGAGAAAAAUAGGUAGGGCUUUUGGUAUAGCCCUGAGGCAUAACAGUCCAGGUCUGCCUAACCAUAAAUUGGGUAAGAAGAACAACCAGAGGUGCACCCAGCCCAUCAACAUCAACUCUUAUUGUGCACUGUUCAAAACAGUAACCACUAGCCAAAUGUGGCUAUGUAAAUGUAAGAACAUUAAGAUGAAAUAAAAACAAAAAUUCAGUUCCUUAGUUAUACUAGCCACACUGCAACUGCUCAACAGCCAGAUGAGGCUAGUGGCUACCAUUAUCCAUGGUAGAGAAACAUUUCCAUCAUCACAGAAAUUUUUAUUGCACAGCAUUGUUCUUAUCUUUUCUAGACACUGCUACCCUGUAUGUACCUAAAAGAAGCUAGAACUAUGUCCAUGAGUUCAUGAGUUCAAGUCCUGCAUUGGGCUCCACACCCAGCAUGGAGCCUACUUAAACAAGAACAACAAUAAACAACUAGACUAUACCCUCUCCCACCUCACCCAAACUCCCAUACUACCCUGCAUCUUGGUUAACUCACUCACUCUGGGUAUAACUGAAAACAUUCUUUGCCCUGGAAAUGGAGUCAGGGACUGUGCUGUUUUCACACAGGUGUAAAUUACCACUUCAGGAAAGGGGAAAGAAGAAACAGGGUAUAUGACGAAGAGAAAUCAAAUUGGGACACUGUGGGUCACAGAAGCUAGGCCGAUGUUUCUCACCCUAUUCUCCACCAUCUAUUUAGCAACAACUUGGAAGGUUGGAACGUUACUACUUGGCUGAAAGCCUGAAGAAAAAAUGCUUCCAAAUCUUUACAGUUUCUUUAUAUCCUUCAGUCAUAGACUUUUAUGAAAUAUUCCCCUCAAAAUUCAUUACGUUAAAGCUUUUACCUUGUAAUCCCAAUGUGACUAUUUGGGGAUAGGGACUUUAAAGAGGUAAUUAAGAUUAAAUAAGGUCAUAAGGGACCCUAAUCCAGUAUGACUGGUGUCAUAUAAAAAA